AAAAAAAAAAAUUUCCGUAAAAAAAAAUUGUUUCCUUUGGUUAAGUGUACUAUAGUAUUGUUGUGGCACUACAGUUUACGCAAUUAUAUGAAAAAAAAGCUUCUUAUUAAUUGUAGUUUUAAAUUAUGUGUAACUUAUAUGCAUACUAAAUAGAUUUUUCUCUUUAAAAAAAUAAUAAAAAAUUUUUGUGUGUAAAUUUAGUAAUUAGUAUAACAAAACU